rnacentral:lncRNA from 1 species
GUGUUUGUUCCCAUCUGCUGCUGGAGGAAGUUUCUCUGAUUAUAGCUGAGCAAGGUACAUCUGGUCAUGUUUCUUUCUCUCUGUCUCUCUCUGUCUCUCUCUGUCUCUCUCUCUCUCUCUUGAUUUACUUUUAAUUCUGUGUAUAUAUCAGUGUAUCACAUGAGUGUGGUUGUCCACGGAGUCCAGAGAUGUUAGCUGCUCUGUUAUGGUUGAAGGGAAGGUUUCUGUUGUAGAUAUGAGGGUACAGCCAGAGGCAUCCAGAGUAAGGCGAGAAAUAGUAAACGGGGCGUGGUCCGAAGACCUGACUUAGCUCCGAGAGGAGAAAGGUGGGGGUGCGAGAAGGGCGAGAGAGGAAGAAAAGAGAGCACCAAGAGAGCCCAUGGAGCUGGAGGAGUUUAGGGUAGGUGACGGGGCAAGAAGAUACAGGAUGCCAGCCAUAGACUCUGUAACAGUUCUGUGUGAUGCUAAGAGAGCCUGGAGGCCAGCUUGUACUUUGGUUUGCUAGUAAGUACCAGAGAUAGUUAUUUGUCCUUGGUUUCUUUUGGACCAGAUACUUUGGAACUAGAGUUAUAGGCUACUUAGAGCCAUCUGAUGUGGAUGCUGGGAAUUAAACCCUGGUCUACAGGAAAGCCAUUAUGUGUUCUUAAUCACUGAGCCAUCUGUUCAAACAAGCAAAGAGGGCAUCACUCUAAAUAAGAUUUUAGCAUAUAUGUAAUAGUGAAAGCAUUUCAGGGAGAAACAGCUAGCUCCCUUAGCAAAUGGUUUUGGGAUAAACAAUUCAUGUGAGACGGGAGAGUUUCCUAUGUUAGGAACUUAACUAAAAUGAGUUCUAGGUUAGUUUACUAUUGAAAUGUGAAGUACAAGUGGUACUAGGAAAAAGGAAAAGCACGUGUUAGUGUAGGCUGGGGGUCACGAAAGCCUUUCAAACAUAAUGCUGGAGUCAGAAACAAGUUCAAAAGCUGCAAAAGAGAAAGGAAUCCAGAAAGAGAAACAAACUGUUCAAAGUGUCAGCAAUAAAUGUGACAAAGGUAUUUUUCAUGUCCAUAGCAGGUAAACACAAGAACAGCGCAGCAGUAAAUGUGGAUGAGCUGGGUAAGAGUUAGAGUUCUUUGGCUAUUUGCCCAAGAGUGCUGUAACUGGGUCAUGUGGUAGUUCUGUUUUGCUUCUUGAGAACCCUCCACUGAUGACUAGUUAGAAAUUGGAAUCAGCCUAGCUGUUCAUCAGCAGACAAAUAUGGUACGUACAUACAUACAAGAGAAGUCUAUUCAGUUAGGAAAAAUUGAAAUCAUGAAAUCUGUACCAAAAUGGAUGGAUUUGGAAAUUCUAUUAGUCAUUGAGGUAACCUAGAUUCAGAAAGACAAACAUUACAUAUUGUCUCAUACACAGUCUCUAGUUUUAAAUAUUUAUGUGUAUGACAUGUAUGGAGUAUAUUUGAAUAUGGAUCACGGAACUAAAGGGGCCUUAACAAAGGAAAAAGGUCUUAAAGAAGAACGGAAGUGAUAACAGUGUACAUGUGAUAUAAAAGUGGGGAGGACAUUCCUGGCAGAGGAAGUGAGAGCAGGGAGGUGGGGGAGGGGUACAAGGGAAGUGUGUAUGAAAAUUCCAGAAUGAAGCCCAUUGCUUUGUAUGCUAAUUUAAAACCAAAGCUAGAAGUGGAUGGCAGAGGGCAGGCAUGGUGGCACACACCUUUUAUCAGAACAUUCAGAGCAGAAGCCAGUUGGAAUCUCUGUGAAUUUCAGGGCAGCCUGGUCAUGUCACAAGUUCCAAAAUAACAACAAAAAGGGCAUGGUGGUAAAAUAUAGGCACUUUAUGGGCAUAAAUUCAAAUGUCAGAAAAUCUCGUUACCAGAGGAGACUUGAGGUUAUCAGUAGGUGAAUGUUUUUCAUAGAACAGAUUGACAAAACUUAAAAGUAAUUAAAUAAAAAAUAUAUAUUUUGCCUUUUCUAUGAUAGGCCUGAUACAGUAUGAGGCCCUGGGUUUGAUCCUUAGUCCUGGAAAGGAAAGCCAACCAACUAUCUAAACAAACAAACAAACAAACAAACAAAACAAACCCAAAAAACCCUGCCGAUCUUAAUGUGAGAAAAUAGCUAUUGUGUUAAAUUGCUAGCAGGCAUGCUGCCUCUUUCUGGAUGGUGGGUUGGUGGUAGUAACAGAAGCUUUAAGACAUACUAAUCAGGGCUGGGCAUGGAGGCAUGAACCAUUAGACCUGGUUACUGGGGAACCAGAAAGGGAGGGAUCUCCUUGAGUUCAAGGCCAGCAUGGUUCACACAGCAAAACCUUGUCUCAAAACAAAACAAAACAAACAAACAAACAAAAAACC